rnacentral:rRNA from 1 species
AUGCUAAUACCGCAUACGCCCUACGGGGGAAAGCAGGGGAUCUUCGGACCUUGCGCUAAUAGAUGAGCCUAAGUCAGAUUAGCUAGUUGGUGGGGUAAAGGCCUACCAAGGCGACGAUCUGUAGCGGGUCUGAGAGGAUGAUCCGCCACACUGGGACUGAGACACGGCCCAGACUCCUACGGGAGGCAGCAGUGGGGAAUAUUGGACAAUGGGCGCAAGCCUGAUCCAGCCAUGCCGCGUGUGUGAAGAAGGCCUUUUGGUUGUAAAGCACUUUAAGCGAGGAGGAGGCUACUUGGAUUAAUACUCUAGGAUAGUGGACGUUACUCGCAGAAUAAGCACCGGCUAACUCUGUGCCAGCAGCCGCGGUAAUACAGAGGGUGCGAGCGUUAAUCGGAUUUACUGGGCGUAAAGCGUGCGUAGGCGGCUUUUUAAGUCGGAUGUGAAAUCCCUGAGCUUAACUUAGGAAUUGCAUUCGAUACUGGGAAGCUAGAGUAUGGGAGAGGAUGGUAGAAUUCCAGGUGUAGCGGUGAAAUGCGUAGAGAUCUGGAGGAAUACCGAUGGCGAAGGCAGCCAUCUGGCCUAAUACUGACGCUGAGGUACGAAAGCAUGGGGAGCAAACAGGAUUAGAUACCCUGGUAGUCCAUGCCGUAAACGAUGUCUACUAGCCGUUGGGGCCUUUGAGGCUUUAGUGGCGCAGCUAACGCGAUAAGUAGACCGCCUGGGGAGUACGGUCGCAAGACUAAAACUCAAAUGAAUUGACGGGGGCCCGCACAAGCGGUGGAGCAUGUGGUUUAAUUCGAUGCAACGCGAAGAACCUUACCUGGUCUUGACAUAGUAAG